rnacentral:rRNA from 1 species
GGCACGGGGGGCCUACGGGAGGCAGCAGUGGGGAAUAUUGGACAAUGGGCGAAAGCCUGAUCCAGCAAUGCCGCGUGAGUGAUGAAGGCCCUAGGGUUGUAAAGCUCUUUUACCCGGGAAGAUAAUGACUGUACCGGGAGAAUAAGCCCCGG